ACUGCACAGUUCAUCCUGAGAAUAUCCUUCUGGCUCAUUUUUGUUCUUUCUGGGGACACCGAAAAAGGGCCAUAUUUCACCCAACAGGAGCCAGAGUGCGGAUAUAAGGACUGGGAACUGUGACCAAAAUUAAGCACACAGAGCACAACUACACGAAAACGUAAUAAAAUCAUAAUCGUCGGAUCAACACAGUCAUCAGCGGUGUCACAACAGGCUACCAGUGGAUGAUGAGGACGGAAAGCGAGGACGCAGACAGCCAAGGAUGCCACUGAAGACCCAAGGAGCAGCACAGAGCAGCCGGGAGCAGCAAGGAGCAGCGAAAUUGCACAAGCAAUUGCCAGGCGAAACUCAACGGUAAUUACAGUAAUAAUUCAAAAGAGAUUUGCCCCCACCUCGUCCAAAAAAAAAAAAAAAAAAUAGAGCAAAAAACAACACUCCAGCCAAGGAGAUGGGCGAAGGUUCGGAAAACUAAGAGACAAUGAAGGCGACGAUGCAAUCCGGGCCAAAAGUGGCAAUUGCCACGGCCAGAGACGGAACUGCACAGUGGGCCUGGAUGAAUGGAAUGAGUAAGGGAAAUAUAUACAAGAUUAUUAUAUUGAUAUUAUCAAUAAACAAUGGAACAAGCCUUAGUUUUAGCAGACUGAU
ensembl:ncRNA lncRNA:CR45346 long non-coding RNA:CR45346